GUGUUUGUUUAGGCAGCACAUAUACUGAAACUGGAAUAAUACAGAGAGGAUUAUCAUGACUCCUGUGUAAGGAUGACACACACACUUGUAAAGUGUUCCAUAUUUUU